AGAGUUUGAUCCUGGCUCAGAACGAACGCUGGCGGCGUGCCUAACACAUGCAAGUCGAACGGAAGUGAGAAGCUUGCUUUUUACUUUAGUGGCGCACGGGUGAGUAACGCGUAGAUAAUCUGCCUGAUGGUUUGGGAUAACGCUUCGAAAGGGGUGCUAAUACCGGAUAAGCCCACGGAGUCCUUGGAUUCUGCGGGAAAAGGAGGGGACCUUCGGGCCUUCCGCCAACAGAUGAGUCUGCGUACCAUUAGCUAGUUGGUAGGGUAAAGGCCUACCAAGGCGACGAUGGUUAGCUGGUCUGAGAGGAUGAUCAGCCACACUGGAACUGAGACACGGUCCAGACUCCUACGGGAGGCAGCAGUGGGGAAUUUUGCGCAAUGGGGGGAACCCUGACGCAGCAACGCCGCGUGAGUGAUGAAGGCCCUUGGGUCGUAAAGCUCUGACAGAGGGAAAGAAAUGUGGGUGGCUAAUAUCCAUUCCACUUGACGGUACCCUCAAAGGAAGCACCGGCUAACUCCGUGCCAGCAGCCGCGGUAAUACGGAGGGUGCGAGCGUUGUUCGGAUUUAUUGGGCGUAAAGCGCGUGUAGGCGGUUUUAUAAGUCUGAUGUGAAAGCCCCGGGCUCAACCUGGGAAGUGCAUUGGAUACUGUAAGACUUGAAUACGGGAGAGGGCAGUGGAAUUCCUAGUGUAGGAGUGAAAUCCGUAGAUAUUAGGAGGAACACCGGUGGCGAAAGCGGCUGCCUGGACCGAUAUUGACGCUGAGACGCGAAAGCGUGGGUAGCAAACAGGAUUAGAUACCCUGGUAGUCCACGCCGUAAACGAUGAGUACUAGGUGUUGCGGGUAUUGACCCCUGCAGUGCCGCAGCUAACGCAUUAAGUACUCCGCCUGGGAAGUACGGCCGCAAGGUUAAAACUUAAAUGAAUUGACGG
rnacentral:rRNA from 1 species